CAGAGGACAAUACAGGAGAUAACUUUAUUGAAACGCAAAUGGCAGCAAACAGAUGAAAUCUGCUGGAUGGAGACAUGCCUGGUCGGCAGAGGACCCAGGGAAGGGUAGCCUCAGUGGCGAUGGAGGAAGGCCAUUUCAGCUGGCCAAGGCAUGGAUUUCAUUUUCAACCAAUUUUUUUUCAUUUAAAAUGAAUUACUGAGGGGACAGCCCAGCUCUCUUCGUGAUUGUUACCGCAACUAUAUACAACAAUUUGCUUUCCAGAUUCAGUUCUGCCUUUUCUACAUCAGGUAUAAAAGGGGACAGACUGGAAUGGUGAGGGUCAAAUGAGAAGAAAAUAAGACAAACAUACAGACACACACAUAUCCUGGUUUGGGAUUUUUCUACCCAGUAAGUUUUAAAAAGUGAACAUUCUUGCCCAUCCUCCACCUGAGGAAUGCCGUGCAUUUGAGAAACAGACUCUUACAUGAGCAGUGCUGUGUAAAACAGGAUAGGGAGGGGGAGGAAAGGAAGCCACCAGGGCCUGGAACUCACUAUAAAUUUGUUUUGUUAAAAGCAAUAAACCGAACAGCAUUAGGAAGUGGGGUGGGGUGCAGCAGAGCUAUAUGGGAAACUGGCUGCUGGGUGGGAGUUUGCUCUUUUUUAUCUUCCUUCUUAGAGAAAUGCCAUGGAAGCAGGAUGGUGUCACAGGAGCUGGGAGGCAGGGAGGCAGGAUGAGGCCACAGGAGCUGGGAUGCAGGAUGAGGCCACAGGAGCUGGGAUGCAGGGAGGCAGGAUGAGGUCACAGGAGCUGGGAUGCAGGGAUGCAGGAUGAGGCCACAGGAGCUGGGAUGCAGGAUGAGGCCACAGGAGCUGGGAUGCAGGAUGAGGCCACAGGAGCUGGGAUGCAGGAUGAGGCCACAGGAGCUGGCUGGAUGGUAAGGAGGGUUAUUUUGGUGUAAAUGUUUUACUCCUGCUCGCCUUGGACUUUAGUCCCUCCUUCCAGUGCUUAGUCCCUGAGCUCAGGAGACCCGAUACUAGUGAUUUUUAAUACUCUACACAAAAGUGCUUUUAUAGAAGGGGAACUGACAAAUUUGAAACAAAACCACUUCUCAAAGUCUCAACUCUUCCAUGGCCAUAGCAACUAGUUUGUGAGUUUGGAAAUCUAUGAAGCUCUUUCUGGAAAAAAAAAAUUUAUUUUUUUAAAGAGGAUUUUAUUUUGUUCUAUUUGCUGAGUACUGUACUUAGGUCCUGGUGUGGGAAAAGGCAAGGUUGAACUUAAGGACGUAGAUAACGUUAUUUUCACUGUGCAGAACUCUCUCCUGUGGGUGGAGCAGAGACAUGGCCUUUCUGGCAGUAACUGGAGCCCCACAGCUGUCAGCUGCUCUGGGGAAGGAGGGUCUGGCUAGGCUCUCAAACUCUUAACCACUUAAAGAAGGGAGAGGGUGGUUGCCAGGAGAACAUUUUAUCAUAGAAAUGCAAAUUAGAUUUUAUUUUCCUUUUUUUUACACUAUUAUCAGAAAAAGAAGCUGUCAAAACAGCAAUUCAAAUGAGACCUCCAACACAAUUCCUCCACUGAAGCCCCAUAGUUUGCCAGAUAGAAAUUUCAGAGGCAGGAAGUUGCCUACUAGAGGCUGCGAGCUUCCCUGACUUCCACCCCAAAGCUUUCACUGUUAACUCCCAGAAACCUAAGUAUGAGAAAAAUGACUUUGAGAUGUUAACAUUUGAAUCAGACUGUAGAUGUUUCUUUUUGGGGGGGGGUCUCCAAACAUCAGCCAUCUUGGAGCAAGGGCUCUUAUGUACUGGAUUCACUACAGAACCGUUAAAAGCAUUGCCGGACACCGCCAUAAAGGUUUGACUUGGUAAAUCUGGAUUAGAGCCUGGGAAAUUUAUCCCUAACGCAUUUAUUCCUACAUUCUGCUGUUGCUUGUCUGAAAACAUCCAUCUAGUGCCACCACUGUAUGGAUUGAAAGGCUGAAUCAAGAACCAGAGGUUCCCCUUCUAGGAUCACGUUGGAGAAUGUUCCCUGUGACAUAAUCAUUAAGGAAAACAGCCAGAAUGUUAAACCGGAAUGGACUAGCAUAAAUAGGUGAACCUCUUUUUUUUUUUUUUUUUUUUUUUUUUUUGGUUUUUGGUUUGUUUUGUUUUUGUUUUUCGAGACAGGGUUUCUCUGUAUAGCUCUGGCUGUCCUGGAACUCACUCUGUAGACCAGGGUGGUCUCAAACUCAGAAAUCCACCUGCCUCUGCCUCCCAAGUGCUGAGAUUAAAGGCAUGUACCACCAUGCCAGGCUGUAGGUAAACCUUUUAAAUGUCGUUUUCUCCCUGCGGUUUCCAAAGUUCAACUGCUCCUUUUCCUUCUGAACUCUGCUGCUUUCCAGUUUAGUCUAUCUUCCCUAGAACAGCACGUGCUUCCAGGGCUAGAGUGUAUACCAGUGUAUCCUGGGCAGUGGGGAGAGCCAAGCUGGUGGCCCAGUUAUCCCUGAGCAGGUUGAAGAUUGAUAAGGCUGAUUCAGUGAUGAAGAACAACGUCUUCAGGCUUUGGCCAUUUGUAACACAUUUUUGGGCCUCCUUGUUGGGAACUGUCAUGUAUAGUUCUUACUACAGAGUGUAUUAUAGCUGAGCCCAGUGAUGCAGGCUGAAAUGCCAAUUACUUGAGAGGUGUGUGUGUGUGUGAUCAUCAAAUUCAAAGCUUGCUUGGAAUAUUUACUGAAUUCAGAGCCAUUAUGGACAACUUAGUAUAAAGGCUAGAGAGAAAGCUCAGUGGUGGGUACUUGCUGAGUGUUAUGAGAAACCCUAGAGUCAAUACCCAACAGUUGAAGGAAAAACAAGGUACCAACAGCUGUUGGUGCAUCCAUCCUAUCCAUCUCUAUUAGCCAACCUGUUGUUACAGCCAUUUCAGUUCUUACCACGGGGGCUGUUGGCUCACGGAGCCAGUUUACCAGCUUCGAUUUAGCUAGUGCACAGGACUAUGGGAAGGAAGGCUACAGAAUGAGAAGGGUCUUUGAUUAACCAUCUGAGUCACUUUAACUCUGGAACCCUGGAUUAGAUUUGUGAUCAGCACAACUUCCUCUCCCAAACCCCUAUGCCAUAAAAAAGAUCAUUAAUGUCAUUUGGAUCACCUCAUCAGGCAUGUGUCCUCUGUGCCCAGGCUGGCUGCUGGGAAUGGGUUCCAUCUGGGGUGAUGGAAGGUGGUGUGAGAGCCUAACUACUUUUCUGGAAUAGGACAGGAAACAAGAGUUCAUCCUCAGAGUCCUGGAAGGGGGUGGCACUCCUGUGAAUAGCAUGACUCAUCUUUGAGAGCCAUCAGGAAGGAGAUGGGUACAUGAAGUCCACAUCGACUCUUGUAAACUAGAAAAACCACACGGCACAAAAUGAAAAGGGGAGGAAAAAAAUCAUUAUUUUGUCUUAUGUCCAUCAGAAUAGACAGAUUAGAAGGUUGGUAACUCAAGACCCAAAUGUUUACCAACCAAGAAAGUUUUCUUGUGGGCUCUCUCCAUGAUCUUUUACCCCCUUCUCCUUCCUUGCCAGCCUCUACCUUCCAAAUGAUUAGACUACAUGAAAGACACUGGAAUAAGGAUUUACAGAGACAGAAACAAGCACCAACGAGUUACCAGAAAGCAGGUAUCAAAAAUAAUGUUCCACAGAGCCCCAGAAGAUAACAACAAACUGCUCGUGUGUAAGAGAGAAGGACAGAGACAGAAAAAUGCACAGACAUCAGGUCCCUUAGCAGCCUCCAAUACCUAGAGUAUUUUAUUUUAGUGCUUAGGCAGGGACUGAGAAACAAACACAUUGAACACAACUUAUUGGUCUUCAUCCCCAAGUGCAAGGGACUCUGGCGAGCCUCUCCUGGAGCUGAGGCCCUCCAAAGGUUGUUGUUCUUCACCAGCCAACUUUGGUGAGGGAUGGAAUCAGGAGUUGGAAGGAAAGGGAAUAGCAAAAGUUGCAGAAUUAAGAUAGAUUGCAUUCUUCUGAAGGUGCCUGGAGAUUGUGGGACCCAGUUUUUCCUUUCUGAGGAGUCCUAGGAGUCUCAACCAAGAAGUGUGUAGGUUGGGAGGACUGCUGCGGCUUUGCUCUUUGCCAUGGAUUCUUAGGCAGUGAGGAGGAGCUCAGGCUUUUUGCUUCUUAGAAGUCUGGAUGAGCAUCCCGAGGGGUUAUAGCACCAUGAGGAGGCUCAACCUUCCGAAAUUGCCACCGAACCAUGAUCCCUUUUUUUUUUCUUUUUUUUUUGAGAUGGUUGAUCCUACUGUGAGGGGCCCAGAUGUGCAACUGUAAACAGGGUCCCAGGCUCCAGAAGGAAAGUGUAGGCUUCGAGAGCACUUCACUAGAUGGGAACGCACUUCCUGGAGGACAGCUAUUUGAGGCCUGAACUAAAUGCAGCAGUCAACUGAGAGAAGAGGGUGGUGGAUCCCAGGAAUAGAAAUGAAGUCAAAGUAUGCGAGGCCUCCAGAAUCAACUUGCUGCAGACCCAAAUAAAAUUCUCGAUGGUAUCCAUAGUUACCACAGAGACACUCUCUCUGUAGUCUGAGGCAGUUGGAAUGGAAGAAGGCAUUUCCUACUUUCCUUCUUCUUAAGUAGCCAGUAACAUCCGUGUCAGAAGGCACUGGCUGGGCAGCACCAGAAAAAGAGGGUGAAAGGCUCAAGCGUUAGGAUGUUAGCAAAAGUCUGAGCCUUGCCAUGUACUGGAGCUUUGGAUAGGGUUCAGAAGAGACCUAUGUCCAAAGUAGGCCUAUCCAGUCUUCCCUUCCUUCUAAGUUGGAACACCCAGCUCUGGGGGGGCCUUCUCAUUCUGCACAGCAAAGACCUUAAGGCAGUGAUUUCAGCACCAUCCUCGGACAGUCAGCCUCUUCCCACCACAGAAUUGCAUAUUUUGCAGCUGAGUUGGGGAUCUUCACAGCUCGUGGAAUUAGCAGCAGUAGCAAUAACAGUCUCCAGAAUAGAGGACCCUGUCAUCCCUGGGGCUACCAGGUGAAUAUAGAAGCUUUUGCCGGGGGUGGAUGGGUACAAAAGGGACAAGCUAGACCUUCUUGAGGAUCUAAAUGAAAAUAGACUAUUAAGAGUCAGGGGCACGUAAUUCCUUGGUUGGGUGGAACAAUGGCCCAGGUUAGUUUGCCUAAAGAAUCUUGGUAUAGAUUCUGGUACGUCGUGUGCUACUAAGGAACCUGAAGAGCGUAUUCUCAGGUCCAGACGUAUAGUAUAUAUCCCUGCACUGCAGAGCGCUAACACAUUAGCCCAUGAGGCAGCUCAACCUGGAAUUUGGUUCCACUGGUUUCCAGAAAUGACAGAAGUAGAUUUUCCCACUCAAGACAAGCAAGAUUCCACAGUUCUUCAGGCUUCAUUUAAACUGAUCCCCAACCUUCUGCCUACAACAUAUUGGAGAUCUAACCAAAGGCUUCUUUUAAUUGACUCCUUGGCCUUCACCUGCAUCUCUCAGAUGAUUUUCAAGGUCCAGAUAAUAAAGGGAUGGUUACUUAAAGGAGAUUAACAUUGCCUCCUAGACCUUGAACUUAAGGACCAAGUCUUGUCUUUUUUAAAAACGUAGUGACUGGUACUCGGUUAAAUACUCAGUAAGUACUUGUCAAAUGAAGGAGUGUGGGUUAGGAAGAGGGCAACUUCUGCAAGACGUAGAUCUCUUUGGAAGGCAGAUAUUGGCCACCAAGUCAAACUCUUUGAGCCUUUUAUUCUGAUCUGAAGCAGGUCACACGGUUGCUCCAUCUCCUAUAAGUGACUAUUCAUCUGUCAAAAACAAAUAAUAAGGGCUAGCUAGGGAAUCUUGAUUCAGUCAGGCAAAGUGGCUACCAUCCAAAUAGUGCAGUGAGGGCCCUAACAGGCCAUAAGACAGGCAGGUGUUUCCAGUAUUUUGGUUUUCCUCCCAGUCCGAGAUGAAGCUCGGGGUAGAUCUACCAUGCUGGAGGACGGCAGUUGAGCUUCCAGGUAGAACAUGUGCUUUCUCAAAAGGAACCAAAGAGACUGAGUUCUUCUUCUCUUACUAUUAUGAGCCAAUGUUUCUUGUCCCAUGUAAGCCCCAAGGAUGCCAGGGACAGUGGCAUGGGAGGUGUCUAACUUGUACCAAUAUUAUAGAAUUAAAUUCUCCAAAGAAAACCCACUUGGAAAGCAAAACUAUCCCCUGGAAGGAAACCCAAGUAUCUUAUUGAUGUGAGGAAACUGGAGGUGAGGGACAAAUAAAUAGGCAAAUGGAAGGAAAAAAUAGAAAUAAAAAUUUAAAAAUUAAAAAGUAGGGUUUAUUGACUUUUCAUGCAUGUUCAGUUAGAGGGCAGAAAGACAGCUUGUGGCCUUUCUUCGAAGGCUGUGAUGUUACUCUUGUGGUCUGGUGACGUUUUAGACUGGCAGCCAUCUUGCAAUGUCCCCUCUUGUCAUCCAGAAGGCAAGAUCUGGCAGCUCUCGUUCCAUCUUGGCAACUGGGCCCCUCCUUCCAGCUUCAUCUUUUCCAUUGCCGUUUUUACCUUCUACAGGUUGAUUUACACAUAUAUUUUUUGUUUUGUUUUGUUUUGUUUUUCUGUUAAACCACAUGCUUCUCUUUUCUUGGCUCUGGCCAGGUCUCUGGCGGGGAGGUUGUUGGCAGUGUCGACAGAACUGGGAAGGGUUUGCAAGAAAGUCUGUAGAGCUUCCUGCCUCCCUUAGAUUUGCCCACAUGUGACUGUCUCAGAGGUGUUUGUGAGAACGAGCUUGGAACUGCUGUAGUUGGUUUGUUUGUUUUUGUUUGUCUGUUUAUAUCUUCCGAAUCCCUCCCCAGAAAGCCCAAGAGUUUGUAGGUGAAACAAAACUUGAAGAAAAGACCAGAAUCAUCUUUUCUCCUAAGUCGUAAGAGGAGGCCAGCAAAUGUAGUUAAGGGGCACGGAGUUCUCAAACUCCACCCCCUCCAAUUCCUAGUAGGAAGUUCUCAAAGGUUCAGCACCGAGAACCCAUCCCUCCUCCUGCCCUCUUCUUCCCUCCUGUUCUCUUGGCGAGGCUGGUGAGCCAGAGCUAUGAAGGAAGAGGGCAGAGGAGAGCUAAUGAUGCUGAAGCCAGCCUUCUGCCCUCCAGGGUGACAGUGACUGCCGGGCCCUCAGAGUGUCGCCUGGAGGUUGGGGUCCAGGAUAGUCUCUCGAUCUGGUGACUCAAUGUAGUUGGCAGCUUCUUGGAGUUUCAGU
rnacentral:lncRNA from 1 species